rnacentral:rRNA from 1 species
UGAUGAAGGCCUUAGGGUUGUAAAGCUCUUUCAGUGGGGAAGAUAAUGACGGUACCCACAGAAGAAGCCCCGGCUAACUUCGUGC